rnacentral:rRNA from 1 species
UGAAUACGAGAUGCUACGGCGUCGAAGCAGUCUAUGUCAUACUUCCAAGAAAAGCUCGCACUGUCAUAAACAAAUAAUGCCUGUACCAUAACCGACACAGGUGGGUAGGUAGAGUAUACUAAGGGGCGCGAGAUAACUCUCUCUAAGGAACUCGGCAAAAUGACUCCGUAACUUCGGGAGAAGGAGUGCCUUAUUUAUAAGGUUGCAAUAACAAGAUCCAAGCAACUGUUUAUCAAAAACACAGGUCUCCGCUAAGUCGUAAGACGAUGUAUGGGGGCUGACGCCUGCCCAGUGCCAGAAGGUUAAAGAAGUUGGUUAGCAUUCGCGAAGCUGAUAACUGAAGCCCUGGUGAACGGCGGCCGUAACGAUAACGGUCCUAAGGUAGCGAAAUUCCUUGUCGGGUAAGUUCCGACCCGCACGAAAGGCGUAAUGAUUUGGAUACUGUCUCGGAGAGGGGCUCGGUGAAAUAGACUUGUCUGUGAAGAUGCGGACUACCUGCACCAGGACAGAAAGACCCUAUGAAGCUUUACUGUAACUUGAGAUUGAAAUUGGACUUUACUUGCGCAGUAUAGGUGGGAGGCGUUGAUAAUAUUCUUGCGGGAUUAUUUGAGCCAUCAGUGAGAUACCACUCUUGUAAUGUUAGAUUUCUAACUUUGUAUCAUUAUCUGGUCAAAGGACAGUUUCAGGCGGGCAGUUUGACUGGGGCGGUCGCCUCCUAAACGGUAACGGAGGCGCACAAAGGUUUCCUCUGAACGGGUAGAAAUCGUAUCUAGAGUGUAAAGGCAUAAGGAAGCUUGACUGUGAGACCUACAAGUCGAGCAGGGACGAAAGUCGGUCUUAGUGAUCUGACGGUGCUGAGUGGAAAGGCCGUCACUCAACGGAUAAAAGUUACUCUAAGGAUAACAGGCUGAUCUCCCCCAAGAGUUCACAUCGACGGGGAGGUUUGGCACCUCGAUGUCGGCUCAUCGCAUCCUGGGGCGGUAGUACGUCCCAAGGGUUGGGCUGUUCGCCCAUGAAAGCGGUACGCGAGCUGGGUUCAGAACGUCGUGAGACAGUUCGGUCCAUAUCCGGUGUAGGCGUUAGAAUAUUGAGAGGAGCCUUCUUUAGUACGAGAGGACCGAGAAGGACAUACCUCUGGUGUACCAGUUAUCGUGCAACGGUAAACGCUGGGUAGCUAUGUAUGGAGUGGAUAACCGCUGAAAGCAUCUAAGUGGGAAGCCCACCUCAAGAUAAG